AUCAGCACCAGCUCUAACAUACAGAAUUACUCAGGGAUAUUCCUCCCAGUAUUCUUUCACCUUUCCAUGACUACUGCUGUUGAAAUUGGCUUGCCAUGAACCUGCUCAUUCUUCGUUAAUUCAUUUACUAAGCAGCGACUGCAUGCAUACAAUAAGAAUACAAAGGGAGACUGUGGACUUCCAGUGGGCAAAAAGACUGGUUCAUCUUUGACUCCCUGGUGAUUACUUCAGAGACCAGAUCCAGAUUUGAACAGCAGGGCGGCAUCGGUCCACAGGCGUGUGCCGGCUACCUGGGCAUGAGUGCGCUCUCGCCCUGCGUCACAGACCUGUCCCAGUACUACAUCAAAACCCUACUUUUCCUGAGAGUGGCGGAAUAGCUGAAAGGGAAAUUCAUUCAACUGAACAACAUCGUCUAAUCCUUCUUUCAUUCCCAUUCAAUAAAAAUCAUUUAAAAAAUCAAUGGUAAAACGGAUUUGUCCUUGAAAGAACAUAAAGGCUGAGAUAAGGGCUGCUCCUCUGGACCUCAACAAUGCCACCAUCGUUUUCCGUGUUACUGCAGCGUUCUCAAUGUGUCUGUCUGCCCGCUGGCAUACGGACCCUUCUCUUCCCCUUCGUUUCCCCAGCACCGAACAGAGGGUAAAGUUCUGAAGUGCUUGGUGAAGCAAUGCGUGAUGAAGAAAACAGUGCUUUCUGGAAUGGCACGUUCACUGUGAGAACACUCUGUCAUCAGGCUGCACCCCUGAAAAGCCAGGCUGCCCUGGGGGCCAUCUCAGAUGCAUCCCUGCCACGGUGGCUCAUAUCCACAGCCCUGAAUUUACAUAGCCGAUGGCCAGCAAUAUCAACGGCCAUGCAUUUUGGGAUUACAGUUGCUGCAGAAAAUUGUGUUCAUAACAUAACAUAUAGAG
rnacentral:lncRNA from 1 species